UUGGUUGGGCCAGCGGCUGCAACACAGGACAUGGGUCCUGCUUCUCCUCCCGCUCGUGUCUUGUGUUGCAGCCAGUGGAGCUCCCUGUCCGU
rnacentral:pre_miRNA from 12 species